ACUAGAUUCACGACUACGUCCUCACACUGCCCAUAUCCUUGGGAGCUACAGCGAGCAUCCCGACUUGUGUCAUUUGUGUAUCCCCUUGCACAUUCCUCUCGUCCAUCAUAAGCGGCAAAGGUUUGAACGCUGCAAUUUCUGCUGGAGAAGCGUAGAGCGACACUGGUCUGGAUCUUGCAAAGGAAGGAGAAACCAAACUGAACAAAGCAAGUUAGCUACAGGUACACAUUCUCCUUCCCAUUCACACUGCCAUAACACAAAGGGGAACUGUCCGAAUGCUCACCCAUCCAGAUCAUUACCCUGUUCAAGACUUCCGUCGCCUCCGAUAAUAGCAGGGGCACUCUUCUGUUCAUCCACAAAUGACUUCUUCUCCCAUGUUCUACUUAACGUCGGUUUAUGCACGAUGGCAUUGAAGAGUCUCUUGGAUAAAGGGGGAGGAGGGGAAGGAUCUUUGAGUGGAGGCGGAGGCGGGGGUGGGGCGGGCGCUUCGAUUGUCUGGUCCGCCUGGUUUACCUCUACCCCUUGAUCUAGUUGGGUCAUAGUGGCGACGAGAUCGGUGGAAGGGACAAGGAUGGGAGAAUGAAUAUGUGAUGCAAGAAGAGAAGGAAGCAUUGGACCGGUCUCGAGGGGACCUUCUUCGGUAACACUUGCUCGGCGCUGUGCAGAAGAACCAUAGGUAGAUGUGGGCUGUGCCCUUUCGGUAUCGGCGUGAAGCUGGUGUUGGGUACGUGAAGGGAAUGCAGGCGACAGAGGAUGAGAAUGUUCGACAGCUCUCGAAACGUGGUGGUGGUGGUGGGAAGGGUAAGACGAUGACAUGUUGACUAGAGGCGACGAUGAUAUUGGUACUUGUGAAGAUCAGGUAUAUGGCAAAGGUUUUUUAGUGAUAAAAGAUUGUGGAAAAUUUGGUUAGUUCUGAAUCAAUCCAGCAGGGUAUUGACGUAUCGCUCUGGUAUGCGGCCGAUAAUGGCAGUCUGGGGGAUAAGAGGCAAAUGAAGAGGACAAUCAGUGGUGGUGG
rnacentral:sRNA from 1 species